UACGAAGGGGGCUAGCGUUGUUCGGAUUUACUGGGCGUAAAGCGCACGUAGGCGGCUUGUUAAGUCAGGGGUGAAAUCCCAGAGCUCAACUCUGGAACUGCCUUUGAUACUGGCAAUCUCGAGUCCGGAAGAGGUGAGUGGAACUCCUAGUGUAGAGGUGGAAUUCGUAGAUAUUAGGAAGAACACCAGUGGCGAAGGCGGCUCACUGGUCCGGAACUGACGCUGAGGUGCGAAAGCGUGGGGAGCAAACAGG
rnacentral:rRNA from 1 species